UCCGCUUCGUUUCCUGGCUCCUGGAAUAUGGAGGCAGCGUGCAAAGCAUUUCUUGGAGUAACUCGCUCCUGCUUGGCUGCUCCUUGCUGCAAACAUUUCAGCCAUUCCUCUUCCAGUUAGCCCUGGAAGAAUUAUUUAGGUAGCAGAUAAGUCUCUUCUCUGCGGUGUGAUUUGUGGAUUUACAGGCAGUGAGAGACCGUGGUGAGAUGGAGGAUCCGAACGCGCCGACCCCGUGAAACGGAUCCAUUGGGAGGUGCCGAAACCGCCGUGUGGCACAGGUGGAAGUGGUCUCAGAUGUGGAAAAACUGCCGCUGGGCUGGACGCGCGAGCGGGGAAGGUGCCGCUUCUUCGCGGUGCGCAGGACUAAAAACAGGGCCGAAACUUUCCAGGGAGCCGUCGCCAGAUGGGGAUGGCGGGCAGGUGCACUACGUGUUGGUCCCUUUGCUCUCCGCUUCGUGACGCGUGAGCCACCAUCUGGAUAGCCUCCGUUUCCGCUCGAUUCUCCUACCUCCCCUGGAGCCUAAUGAGAUUACCUCUAAAGAAUGGUUCCACAAUGAAGGAAUUGAGCCACGUUCAUGCAAACUUCUUACUCCGCUGUCCAAAACCGCACUUCCAGUUCGGUUCCUGAGGAAUGACCACAGGGAGCUUGGUACCAUUUGCUGUCUUUCGCUCUCGGGCUGUUUCAUGGCUCAGAUUGCCUGCGAGCGAUGUUCGUUCCACCCGUGCGCCGUCUCCAUCCAUCAACGGCUCCCGGAAAGGUUCAGGAAAGGCACCUUUUCGAUGUGGUGGGACUCUCCGCUGUGGAAAAGAGCGCCCUGCCUCAGUCUUCGAAGCCCCACAGCUGAUCGUAGCCACGAACAUCUGGUCCUAGCGUGUUUCGGGAGCUCAAUCCUGACGGUUUGACUCAUAAAUCAGGGAGGAUUUCCUCAGCUUGUUGAUAAAGCUACACUGGUGGCGCUGAACUCCUCAGCGGGGAAGUUCAGAUGUGGCAGCUCCGAUUGAUGAA